rnacentral:tRNA from 2 species
GGGCCGCUAGCUCAGUGGUAGAGCACCUGACUUUUAAUCAGGGUGUCACAGGUUCAAUCCCUGUGCGGCUCACCA